UACGAGUGCCCCAAGCGUUAUCCGGAAUUAUUGGGCGUAAAGGGUGUGUAGGUGGUUGUGUUAGUCUCAUGUCAAAUUCUUCGGCUUAACCGGGGUACCGCAUGGGAAACGGCACAACUAGAGGAUGCGAGGGGUGAAUGGAACUCAUGGAGUAGGGGUGAAAUCCGUUGAUAUCAUGGGGAACACCGAAAGCGAAGGCAGUUCACUGGCGCACUCCUGACACUGAAACACGAAAGCGUGGGUAGCGAAUGGG
rnacentral:rRNA from 1 species